UUAUCAUCAUCAUCAACGGAGCCAACGAAACCGAUGCCUCAUAGCUUUUUGGUAGUCAUCGUCUUCGACGCUAUCACUAUAAUAACCGUAAUCGUGCUCGUUGUUGCCGUGAAUACUCGUAUGACUCAAUAAUCGCAUUCAAUAGCUGCAACCGCCCGCGUUUCAGUCGUGAGCUGUUUGGUUGUCAAUUGAGUACUGGCACGAGCCGGUCGCAGCGGAUUUUCCGAUAUCCGACACAGCCAGCCACAGUGUACAAGUCAAGCCAAACCAGCGAAGCAGUCAUCUAAUCAAGCAGUUAGUCAGUCAGCUGCAGUCACAGCUACAGUCAUAGCAACAUCCACAGUCUGCUCGGUGAGUGUCUGUAAGAUCUAGGAAUGUACAUAUGUAUGUAAAGACGGUUACAUCGAAUUCCGGUGGCAAAAUAGACUACAAUAAGAACGCUCAUGUUAACAGUGUAAACAGCGCAAACGCAAAAGAGCUGGAGCAAAAUGGGAGCGUAAACAGCGAGUUACGAAGUGGCAGUUCAUGCAUGACUACGCCACAUCAACAAUGGGUGAAAUAGGGUUGUACGAUACGCAACAAACCCUGCGAGAAUCUGUCAAUUAAAUUCAAACAAAUGCAAGUACUAUACGUACAUAUGUAUAGGUAAAUAUGUAUGCAUAUUUAUAUAACUCACACGAGGCUUUGAUGUGAAACAAAAAUACCAAUGGAAUGGUCGCAUUACGAAAUUUAUCACAACUAAGUACUUCCAGUACCAACUCGUGCCCGUAUUCUAACUCGUAAUCACACAUAGAUAUUCGUAUUUAAAUUCUUCGUCUUCGAGUCUGCAUUCGUACAUAUACACUUUUCUAUUUCCAUGUAAUACAACGAUCCCACGAAAGCAUGCAUGCACAUUAGGGUGGUGCAAAAACAGUAAAGUCGGAAUUGUAAUGCCCUAAC